rnacentral:rRNA from 1 species
GACGAACGCUGGCGGCGUGCUUAACACAUGCAAGUCGAACGAAGUGGCGAACGGGUGAGUAACGCGUAAUCAACCUGCCCUUCAGAGGGGGACAACAGUUGGAAACGACUGCUAAUACCGCAUACUGAAGGAGGGGUUUGCGUCUGAUUAGCUAGUUGGAGGGGUAAUGGCCCACCAAGGCGAUGAUCAGUAGCCGGGCUGAGCGGAUGAACGGCCAAAUUGGGCCGGAGGAAAGGCCCAGAAUCCUACGGGAGGCAGCAGUGGGGAAUCUUCCGCAAUGGAAGAAAGUCUGACGGAGGAACGCCGCGGGAGUGAGGACGGCCUUCGGGUUGUAAAGCUCUGUUAAUCGGGACGCGGUACCGGAAUAGAAAGCCACGGCUAACUACGGGCCAGCCGCCGCGGUAAUUC